rnacentral:rRNA from 1 species
GACGAGGGGUCCUAGCGUUGUUCGGAAUCAUUGGGCGUAAAGCGCAUGUAGGCGGCUAUUUAAGUCAGGUGUGAAAGCCCCGGGCUCAACCCGGGAAGUGCAUUUGAUACUGGAUAGCUUGAGUACUGGAGAGGGUAGUGGAAUUCCUGGUGUAGUGGUGAAAUACGUAGAUAUCAGGAGGAACACCGGUGGCGAAGGCGGCUACCUGGCCAUGUACUGACGCUGAGAUGCGAAAGCGUGGGGAGCAAACAGG